UACGGAGGAUGCAAGCGUUAUCCGGAAUGAUUGGGCGUAAAGCGUCCGCAGGUGGCUAUGUAAGUCUGCUGUUAAAGAGUGAGGCUCAACCUCAUAAGAGCAGUGGAAACUACAUGGCUAGAGUGCGUUCGGGGCAGAGGGAAUUCCUGGUGUAGCGGUGAAAUGCGUAGAUAUCAGGAAGAACACCGGUGGCGAAAGCGCUCUGCUAGGCCGCAACUGACGCUGAGGAGCGAAAGCAUGGGGAGCGAACAGG
rnacentral:rRNA from 1 species